rnacentral:misc_RNA from 1 species
AACGGUCGUUUGGCACGGCCAGUAGCUUACCUGUUCAAUCAAACCUCGGGGUCGUUCCACCCGAGGGAACAGGUGGGUUCCAAACCGUAAUAUCCCAACGCUCGGGAAUCCUCGCCCUUCAGGGCGGGGAGGAUGUCAACACCUAACUUCUG